ACUCCUGCGGGAGGCAGCAGUGGGGAAUAUUGCACAAUGGGCGCAAGCCUGAUGCAGCCAUGCCGCGUGUAUGAAGAAGGCCUUCGGGUUGUAAAGUACUUUCAGCGGGGAGGAAGGCGAUAAGGUUAAUAACCUUGUUGAUUGACGUUACCCGCAGAAGAAGCACCGGCUAACUCCGUGCCAGCAGCCGCGGUAAUACGGAGGGUGCAAGCGUUAAUCGGAAUUACUGGGCGUAAAGCGCACGCAGGCGGUCUGUCAAGUCGGAUGUGAAAUCCCCGGGCUCAACCUGGGAACUGCAUUCGAAACUGGCAGGCUAGAGUCUUGUAGAGGGGGGUAGAAGUCCAGGUGUAGCGGUGAAAUGCGUAGAGAUCUGGAGGAAUACCGGUGGCGAAGGCGGCCCCCUGGACAAAGACUGACGCUCAGGUGCGAAAGCGUGGGGAGCAAACAGGAUUAGAUACCCGUGUAGUCCCAUG
rnacentral:rRNA from 1 species